ACAAGCGGUGGAGCAUGUGGUUUAAUUCGAAGCAACGCGAAGAACCUUACCAGGUCUUGAACCAUCCCCUGACAACCGAGAGAUCGGGCGUUCCCCUUCGGGGGACAGGGUGACAGGUGGUGCAUGGUUGUCGUCAGCUCGUGUCGUGAGAUGUUGGGGUUAAGUCCCGCAACGAGCGCAACCCUCGACCUUAGUUGCCAGCAUUCAGUUGGGCACUCUAAGGUGACUGCCGGCUAAAAGUCGGAGGAAGGUGGGAUGACGUCAAAUCAUCAUGCCCCUUAUGACCUGGGCUACACACGUGCUGCAAUGGGCGGUACAAAGGGUCGCGAAGGAGCAAUCCGGAGCAAAUCCCUUAAAGGCGGUCCCAGUUCAGAUUGUGGGCUGAAACUCGCCCACAUGAAGGCGGAAUUGCUAGUAAUUGCAGAUCAGCAUGCUGCAGUGAAUACGUUCCCGGGCCUU
rnacentral:rRNA from 1 species